rnacentral:rRNA from 1 species
UUGGCCUUAAACAAGAAUAAUUUUACAACAAAAUUAUUUGCCAGAGAACUACUAGCAAUCGCUUAAAACUCAAAGGACUUGGCGGUACUUUAUAUCCAU